UUCUGUGCUGGAUGCGCUAGUCGUGUGGAUCCGAAACAUUCCAGUGCGCUUGGAAGUACUGCGAUAUCUGUCCGUCUGUCCAUCCAUCCAUCAUCCUGCUGCUUAUCCUGAGCCGGAUCAAUUGGCUCCAAUUGACUACCUGGGUGGUCUGUGAUGGAAUAAUGAUGUUUUUCAGCUGGGACCAUGCUAACGCCCGAACAAAGCUUCAGGAUGGAGAUGAUGUUUGGGAGACAUGAGAAUGAAGACCAACUUCAGAGGGCCUGAAGACUGAAAAAAGAACAAGAGUGGAUGGCUCCUGUAAGGCAGGAGAUAUCUGCUGUGAGGAUUACACCGUGCCCGCUUCAAAAGGGUCUCUACAAAGAUCUGGUGUGCUUGACUUUUUCCUCUCUCCGCCUGAAGUGUUCUCCUGCCAAGCAAAUUUACAGCCAGCCCUCAGGGGGCUUGGAAACGAGGAAGGUUCCAGAUGCUAUCCCGUUUACUCCUUAGACCCUCUGCAGCCUUUGACGCACGUACUGCAUGGCAUUCCUUAGUGCGGCACAUGUGAACUUUGACAGAAUUCCCGCUCUGAAGGCGGGGCUCGUUUAAAUGCUUGUCUGUGUAAAAAAUGUUUUUGUUGGUGGUGUUAAAGCAUUAAAAACAUUAUUUUUGGGUGAA